GCGGGGGUGCCCGAGUCAGGACAAGGGGCUAGAGCCCCGUCCAGAGGGGCGGGACUUAAGAUCCCGUGGGGGCAGCCCCGUCCGGGGUUCAAAUCCCCGCCCCCGCACCA
rnacentral:tRNA from 1 species